rnacentral:rRNA from 1 species
GACGAACGCUGGCGGCGUGCUUAACACAUCCAAGUCGAACGGAAAGGCCCCUUUGGGGGUACUUGAGUGGCGAACGGGUGAGUAACACGUGAGUAACCUGCCCUCGACUUCGGGAUAACUUCAGGAAACUGGGGCUAAUACCGGAUAGGCAUCCUUGCUGCAUGGUGGGGGUUGGAAAGCUUCGGCGGUUUUGGAUGGACUCGCGGCUCAUCCGCUUGUUGGUGGGGUAGUGGCUUACCAAGGCUUUGACGGGUAGCCGGCCUGAGAGGGCGACCGGCCACAUUGGGACUGAGAGACGGCCCAGACUCCGACGGGAGGCAGCAGUGGUGAAUAUUGCACAAUGGGCGGAAGCCUGAUGCAGCAACGCCGCGUGCGGGAUGACGGCCUUCGGGUUGUAAACCGCUUGCAGCAGGGGCGAAGCUUGUGGUGACGGUACCUGCAGAAGAAGCACCGGCUAACUACGUG